rnacentral:rRNA from 1 species
CCUACGGGAGGCAGCAGUGAGGAAUAUUGGUCAAUGGGCGGAAGCCUGAACCAGCCAAGUAGCGUGCGGGAUGAAGGCCCUACGGGUCGUAAACCGCUUUUGCACGGGGAUAACACCCUCCACUUGUGGAGGUCUGCAGGUACCGUGCGACUAAGGGCCGGCUAAUUCCGUGCCAGCAGCCGCGGUAAUACGGAAGGCCCGAGCGUUAUCCGGAUUCAUUGGGCUUAAAGGGAGCGUAGGCGGGCGUUCAAGUCAGCUGUAAAAUCGCGCGGCUCAACCGCGCCCCGCAGUUGAAACUGGACGCAUUGAGUUCACAACAGGCAGGCGGAAUUCGAGGUGUAGCGGUGAAAUGCAUAGAUAUCACGAGGAACCCCGAUUGCGAAGGCAGCCUGCCGGGGUGCGACUGACGCUGAGGCUCGAAGGUGCGGGUAUCAAACAGGAUUAGAUACCCUAGUAGUC